ensembl:lncRNA
CACACUGGCAUCGUCCGUUCCUUGGGGUUUCUGUUGCUGACAGCAUCUUAAUCUAUGCCAGGUGAUCAUGAAGAACCUCAGAGGAAAAGGUGACAGGUUUGAACAUUUUCCUAGGAAUCCAUGAACAACUCUUCAAGAACAACUGUUUGGGCAGUGUCGUGAUGACCAUGAUAAUUUUAAAGAGUUGGAGGGGAGGUUGGCCCGGGUCUUCUCCAGGAAGCUGGGCAUCCACCUUUACCUGACGUCCAGCCAGCAUCUUAGGGGACUUCAGCACUCAUAUGGAUCUGAUCUCUAAAUUUUGUAAACCAACCGCCUCCCAGAAACAACCUCCUUUUCCUCUUGGCUUCAGCCACCCACUCCUGAUCCUACUUUGGCCCCAGAAGCGCCCCACCCUGGAAGCCACGAGGACUGUUACCUUCCUCUGUCCUCACUCCUGUCUUCCUGACAGUCCCUUGCGGUUCUCCCCAAUGCAUUAGGUCCCUUUCACUCUCUCAUCUUCACUUCCUGCUUUUUCUACUGUAGUAGGUGAUCUGGAUUUCUACCAUUCUCAGCUCCAUCACUUCUGUCCUUCUGCCCCAUCCACCUGACAAAUGCCAACUUUGGAAAAGUAAAGUACUAGGAGGAAGGGCUUUGGGAUCGACAAUGAUCAUUAUCCCCAUUAAGUUGCCACUUUUUUGGUCCCAAAAUCCAAUGGGAAUUUCAGUAGCUACAUCUCUUGACUUCUUGGCUAUAUUUCAUGAUGGUGACUAUAUCCUUCCUUUCAGACCACCAUUGGAUUCUGUGCAUAGGCUGCUAGUUACUCCCCUGUAUCGAUUCACCUUUUCUUCUUGGUAACAGGAUCUCUGGUUUUUGAGUUCAAAAAUAAAGACUACAGUUCUCAGACUAUUUUGCAACUAAGUUUUGUGACUGAACUGUAGUGAGUAUUAUGUGCUAUGUGACAGUUCCUGGAAAUCCACCUUAAGAGGUUGCUUACUUAUUCCUAUUCUCCCUUUUAUUCUCCAUCCCUUCUUCCAUUCUGCUACCUGGAAAGCAGAUGUGAUGGCUGGAAGAAAUCAUCUUCUCACUUGUUUAAACCACUCUCCCUUGUAGCCCAAUUAAAUCCUAAGUGAAAUUGCUUUCCUGACAUCAAGCCCUGUUGGAUUUUCUCCAGCCUCUCUGAGCUGCCUUUAAGCAGUCAGCUUUGCCUAAUCCUCCUUUUAAAAUCGCAGCAUUGAAACUGGGUACAUGGAACCUCUCUG